CAUGUUUGAGCCUCUAGUCUCAGUGAUUAUCCAGGGUUUGCAUCAACUCUAAAAUUCUAAGAUCAUUGGUGUGGAAAGGAAAUAAGACUGACAGUUUGUGGGGGAAGGGGCCAAUUGGGAGUGGCAGCUGGGUCUUGUGACUAGCACUUCCUUCCUGCUGUGUGGGACUUGCUUCCGGGUGUUGGAGGAGGAAGGAGCUUGUUCAGCCCGGUCUGGUGUGGUGUGCCGCCUCUUCUUGGUUCAGCCUGAAGAUUCAGGUCCAUUCAUCUCUGAAGAUGAAUAACAUUCUUUGACAUACACUCUUCAGAAUUGUUCUGGAUCAUUGCAUUGCUGAGAGUAACUCCAUCAGUUGCUGAUCACCAUUCUUACUUGAUAUUAUAUAGCUAUA
rnacentral:lncRNA from 1 species